rnacentral:ncRNA from 1 species
CCCGGGGCCGCCCGGCCCCGGGGCAAGCUGACGUCGGUACCUGAUACGGCCGGCGCAG